AUUGAACGCUGGCGGCAUGCCUUACACAUGCAAGUCGAACGGCAGCACGGGAGCAAUCCUGGUGGCGAGUGGCGAACGGGUGAGUAAUGCAUCGGAACGUGCCCAGUCGUGGGGGAUAACUGCUCGAAAGAGCAGCUAAUACCGCAUACGACCUGAGGGUGAAAGCGGGGGACCGUAAGGCCUCGCGCGAUUGGAGCGGCCGAUGUCAGAUUAGGUAGUUGGUGGGGUAAAGGCCUACCAAGCCUGCGAUCCGUAGUUGGUCUGAGAGGACGGCCAGCCACACUGGGACUGAGAAACGACCCAGACUCCUACGGGAGGCAGCAGUGGGGAAUUUUGGACAAGGGGCGCAAGCCUGAUCCAGCAAUGCCGCGUGCAGGAAGAAGGCCUUCGGGUUGUAAACUGCUUUUGUCAGGGAAGAAAUCUUCUGGGUUAAUACCUCGGGAGGAUGACGGUACCUGAAGAAUAAGCACCGGCUAACUACGUGCCAGCAGCCGCCGCAGUAA
rnacentral:rRNA from 1 species